rnacentral:rRNA from 1 species
UACAGAGGUCUCAAGCGUUGUUCGGAUUCAUUGGGCGUAAAGGGUGCGUAGGCGGCGCGGUAAGUCGGGUGUGAAAUCUCGGAGCUUAACUCCGAAACUGCAUUCGAUACUGCCGUGCUUGAGGACUGGAGAGGAGACUGGAAUUUACGGUGUAGCGGUGAAAUGCGUAGAUAUCGGGAGGAACACCUGUGGCGAAAGCGGCUCACUGGACCAUAACUGACGCUGAUGCACGAAAGCUAGGGGAGCAAACAGG